rnacentral:lncRNA from 1 species
ACUUGAGCAUCGGAGGGUCUUGUCGGAGCACCUCCAACUCUGGUUUAGACUUCCCUUACAGGUCUCGACGGCGGACGUGACCCCACGACUCCAGCUUCUCCGAUGUCGGUGGAAUUCUGCACCAACAGAAUUGGUGCUAGAAGAAGGGGCUGUGUCUUCAUAGUACCCUUGUUCUUAAAGGAGUGCUCAACGGGACUAUCUUCGGUCACCUUCUCCGAUAUCUACUUCUCCUUCUCCUGUCAGAUAUCCACCUGAUGCCUCCCUGAAAGGCAUCCACCAGGCGAUCCACGGCC